UACGUAGGGGGCAAGCGUUGUCCGGAUUUAUUGGGCGUAAAGAGCGUGUAGGCGGUCAGGUAGGUCCGUUGUGAAAACUCGAGGCUCAACCUCGAGACGCCGAUGGAAACCAUCUGACUAGAGUCCGGAAGAGGAGAGUGGAAUUCCUGGUGUAGCGGUGAAAUGCGCAGAUAUCAGGAAGAACACCGAUGGCGAAGGCAGGUCUCUGGGCCAUUACCGACACUGAGAAGCGAAAGCAUGGGGAGCGAACAGG
rnacentral:rRNA from 1 species